rnacentral:lncRNA from 1 species
GAUAUUUUCUCCUCUACUUCUGCUCGCUUUCUAAUUUCAGAUGCUUUCUACUUUCUCUCUCUAGGGUUUCUGUUCUGCAGGUGGAGGUCGUAAUCUCUUCCCUGAAUUAGAAAAUGUUACAUUGUUAAAGCUUUCUAUUUUAUGCAAAAAAAAAAAAAAAAAAAAAACCUGAAUGAUUCUUCUAACUGACCUCUUACUUUUCUAUUUAUAUUUAUACACGUAUAUAAAUAUGUAUAUUUUUAUAGAUAUAUAGAUAGAUCCUCCUACUCCCCCCCAUGGCUCUGAUUUCCAUUUUUUUUUUUUCGUUUUUUUUUCUUUUGUUUUUUAUGGUCGUGGUUUCAGAUUCUGUAUUGUAUUGAAGAUGUGCUUUGCUUCUUUUUUCCUUAUUUCUAUCAAAGACCAAAGUUCUUUGACUUCUUUCUCGUCCCUCGAUCUCUUUAUAUUUCUUAUGGUAACUGACGAGAUAUACAUAUCAUCUGUUUGCAGUGAGUGUACUGUGAAAAUGGUGAUACAGAAGAUUCAGAUCAAGAAGUUGAUAACUUGACUGCACGCCAAGUGACCUUUUCAAAGAGAAGAAUAAGAAGAGGGGUUUUUAAGAAGGCUCAAGAACUCUCUACUCUUUGUGAUGCUGAGAUUGCUCUAAUUGUUUUUUCUGCCACUGGGAAAUUCUUCCAUUAUUCUAGCUCAAGGUAUUCUAAUUUCUUCUCUUGAUCUUCUCUCUCUUGAACACACACACACAACAUGCCACUGGGGACGAAGCUUUGAUGCCUUUGGCUACUGAGUUGUCAAUCACAUAGCUAGAUUUGUAUUGAAAACUAAAGAUAUUAAUAGACUAAAAAAAGAGGAAAAAUGAUUAGAGAGAACGUUCUUAAGAGAAGGUACGAAUUAAAUGGGCAGUAAUGGAAAUUAUUAGGUAGAAAAUUUAGCUCCAAUAUGGAUGCAAAUAAUCUAGAAGUGUGAUACAAAGGAUCGAACAAAGCUAGGGGCGAAUGGUACACUGAUAAAUCAUAUAUAUCACUUGUUUUUCUCCUAUUUGCGUUUGUAAAGUAGCUUUUGGUGAAGAUAUUGGGGCAGGGGAUGAUUUAGAGUUGAAACAACGAUGAUCAUGCAGGAAAAUGUGAAAACAAGGAUGGCACAAAACUGAAAGUAUUCUAGUAUCUUGUGUUGUUUUCAGCAAAUCUAUUGAUCUUCAAUAGUCGGUGAAUGCUAUUGAAUAUGUCCAUUUUGAGAGUUAAUGUGGGACUGCGGGUAGUACAAGUCAUGAGUGCAAUAUCGCCCUCAGUGAGAGAUGGCUUGGUUUCUGUGCUUUGUGUCCAAUGUUUGUACCUUGAACAUGUGAGAAAUUAGUUGUUUUCCUAUCCAAUAUUGUUUUAUCGAGAAAGUACAACGUUCAUAUAUUAAAAGUUUAAAAAUAAUGUGGUAUAAAAUGGUGUCACGUCCUGCAAUAGCGCCCUCAGUAAGAGAUGGCUUGGUUUCAGUGCUUUGUGUCCAAGGUUUGUAGCUUCAACAUGUGAGAAAUUAGUUGUUUUCCUAUCCAAUAUUGUUUUAUCAAGAGAGUACACCGUUCGUAUAUUAAAAGUUUAAAAAUAAUGUGGUAUAAAAUGGUGUCAUGUCCUGCAAAUGUCUUAAGUUGAAGUAUUUAGCUGCCCAUAAUUAUGAAAUUUGUGCAUGCCUUGUAGCUUCGACUAGAAAAUACUGAUUCUGGCUUGUACCAGAUUGGAUUGGUUAAAAAUCCAUUGGUUUACUAUUCAAUUAGAUAUCAUCUUUAACAGUUACACUGGUUGCUUCUAUUGCUUAAACAAGACAUAGACCUAUUGAAAUUUCAGAAGUUGGCGUCACAUUUACAUAUGUAAUGAAAAAUCUUUAUACAAGAAUCUGGAAGUAGUAAUCAACAUCUAUGAAAACACCUAAUUAAUUUAUGUUAUCUAAUAGCUUUAAUGGUUUAUUAUUAUAUAUUCUGACGUUCCAAAGUGGUAUUAAGUUCUUCAUACUCGUACAAGUAUAAAUAAGGUGGCUAUAGUUCUUGCUGGCACCUGAAAGGAAAAACUGAAAACUGAGAUAUAGCCGGUUAAGUUUAAUUCUACUGCGUCCAUUAUGAUUACUAUUUCUUUUUGAUAUUACUAAUAAAAUGUUGCAGAUCGAUAGAUGAUAAGGGUGGUAAAUAGGUUCUGACCUAGUUGGGACAUCCAGGUGAACAUAUUGAUUCGAAUUCUUAACAAUCUUACGCAAAAAAUAAAUGAAACUGCAUGCAUUUUCAAUGAACCUUCUAGAAUUUAAUAUGGUUGAAUGUAUGUACUGAAGUGGAAAAAAUAAAGCCAUACUGUUGAGUUUUGUAUUCAUCACAAAACAUGCAAUAAGUCACGCAAUUGAGUUGUCUAUUCGAUACCAAACAUGCUAUUCUAUUUAUAAAAUGUAUUUGACUUUUAUUUUGCCUUCCCCUAGUUUAAUUCGUUGAAAACAUUGUUCCCCAUGUUAUAUUCUGCAGCGUCAUGGAACUAACUAAAAGGCAUAGAAGGCAAUAAGAGAACUCGAGCAAAUUAGGGCAACCAUCUCUCCAACUUCAAGUGAGAUCACCCCAUUUAUAGACAAUUCGACUUUAAAUUUGUAGUUUGUGUUUACACUUUAUAUACUGAAAUCAUAACAAGAAAAUAAAGAUGAAUAAGGCUUCUGCAUCGAUUAAUGCAGUCAAUUUUAAACAUUACCAUAUGAGAUUAAAUAGUGCAAACAAGAUUAUUUCCAGAUCAUUAAAUGUAGGUUUAUGUUUAUAUUGUAUUUACCCUCAUGUUGGCAAUUAAAU